GCAGACACGGGGGUUCCCAAGCCACAGAGGAUAGAGACAGGGGUGCAGGGGGAGAACAGGGAAAGGACAGCGAGGAUGGACAGGCCCUCCUGGAGCGUUCUCCGUGGGCUCCCGCGCCUCCUUCAGGAUUUGGACUUGGACACAGCAAGUCCGAUGAGUCCGGCCAGUCCCGCCACACCCAGGGCCAUGCCUCCCACGAUGGCCAUGCCC
rnacentral:lncRNA from 1 species